rnacentral:rRNA from 1 species
UACGUAGGGUGCAAGCGUUAUCCGGAAUUAUUGGGCGUAAAGAGCUCGUAGGCGGUUUGUCGCGUCUGCUGUGAAAACUGGAGGCUCAACCUCCAGCCUGCAGUGGGUACGGGCAGACUAGAGUGCGGUAGGGGAGAUUGGAAUUCCUGGUGUAGCGGUGGAAUGCGCAGAUAUCAGGAGGAACACCGAUGGCGAAGGCAGAUCUCUGGGCCGUGAACUGACGCUGAGACGCGAAAGCGUGGGGAGCGAACAGG